rnacentral:misc_RNA from 1 species
GAUGAAGAACGUAGCGAAAUGCGAUACGUAAUGUGAAUUGCAGAAUUCAGUGAAUCAUCGAAUCUUUGAACGCACAUUGCGCCCGCCAGCAUUCUGGCGGGCAUGCCUGUCCGAGCGUCAUUUCAACCCUCAGGGUCCCCCCGCCUCGCGCGGUCGGAGCCUGGUGUUGGGGAUCGGCCCGCCCCGCGCGGCGCCGUCCCCCAAAUACAGUGGCGGUCCCGCCGCAGCCUCCCCUGCGCAGUAGUUAUCAACUCGCACUGGAGCGCGGCGCGGCCACGCCGUAAAACCCCCGACUUUCAGAAAGUUGACCUCGGAUCAGGUAGGAAUACCCGCUGAACUUAAGCAUAUCAAUAAGCGGAGGA